AGUCGCCGCGGUAAUACGGAGGGUGCAAGCGUUAAUCGGAAUUACUGGGCGUAAAGCGCACGCAGGCGGUCUGACAAGUCAGAUGUGAAAUCCCCGGGCUUAACCUGGGAACUGCAUUUGAAACUGUCAGGCUGGAGUCUUGUAGAGGGGGGUAGAAUUCCAGGUGUAGCGGUGAAAUGCGUAGAGAUCUGGAGGAAUACCGGUGGCGAAGGCGGCCCCCUGGACAAAGACUGACGCUCAGGUGCGAAAGCGUGGGGAGCAAACAGGAUUAGAUACCCCGGUAGUCCCUGUCUCUUAUACA
rnacentral:rRNA from 1 species